rnacentral:rRNA from 1 species
UUUAAUUGAAGAGUUUGAUCAUGGCUCAGAUUGAACGCUGGCGGCAGGCCUAACACAUGCAAGUCGAGCGGUAACAGAGAGGUGCUU